rnacentral:tRNA from 1 species
GUAGUCGUCGCCGAGUGGUUAUGUCGAUGGACUACAAAUCUUUUGGGAUCUUCCCGCGCAGGUUCGAAUCCUGCCGACAUCG